rnacentral:rRNA from 1 species
UGCAGUCGAGCGGCAGCGCGGGGGCAACCCUGGCGGCGAGCGGCGAACGGGUGAGUAACACAUCGGAACGUACCCAGUGGUGGGGGAUAGCCCGGCGAAAGCCGGAUUAAUACCGCAUACGACCUGAGGGUGAAAGGGGGGGAUCGCAAGACCUCUCGCCGUUGGAGCGGCCGAUGUCGGAUUAGCUAGUUGGUGGGGUAAAGGCCUACCAAGGCGACGAUCCGUAGCUGGUCUGAGAGGAUGAUCAGCCACACUGGAACUGAGACACGGUCCAGACUCCUACGGGAGGCAGCAGUGGGGAAUUUUGGACAAUGGGGGCAACCCUGAUCCAGCCAUUCCGCGUGAGUGAAGAAGGCCUUCGGGUUGUAAAGCUCUUUCGGCAGGAACGAAACGGUGUGGGCUAAUACCCCAUAUCAAUGACGGUACCUGAAGAAGAAGCACCGGCUAACUACGUGCCAGCA